ensembl:lncRNA
AUUUUUUUAUUUUUUUUACAAAACGCAACGCUUUAAACAAGUGCACGUGACUUGAUACCACAUGAACUUUGUGGUCCUUUAAUCUCCGGUCAUAUCGUCGCAGCGUACGUCAGGUAAGGUUCAUGUUGAGCUUUGGUCAUUCCUGGUAAAAACACGUAAGACGAAGGAACAGCAGGUCCAGAACCCGGCCAGCCCAGGCAGUUAUAGGGCACCAUGUGGCCCGGGUUACCCGGAGACGGGUGAGCGUGUGGCGCACCGGCCAGAACCCCCAUCCCGGGAAACGCGGAGACUCCACCGGGAUACCCGAGCAUUGAGUAAUGUGGAAAAGGUGCAGGGGGUAAUUCCGACAUUUUGGAGGCCAGGUCGAGAAACGGAUAUGGGCUGACGGACAGGUGGUUGCUGAAAAACACCCGAGUAGCAGCGGCGACGGACGUUUUCUCCGCGCUCAGCGAGUCCGUCAGCGCGUCACCGGGAAGUGGUAAGAUCCUUUUGUAAUUGUUCAUAUGGAGCGGUCACACCCUGAGAACUAGGAGGUGUCAGUCAUGAGUCAGGACCACACCAGAACAAUAUGCUCCGGAGUAAUUAAAGGAACAAAUGACUCUUAAAACGGCUCUGUGUUUAGCAUCCCUUUAUUCUCCUGAAAACAUCUUGGAACGCAUCUUGGAUUUGCAUGAGUGCUCUCGGUUAUCUCUCAAAGAGAAGCUUAUUUAGCAGAAAGGAAAAGAAAGUCCUUUGGAGAGAGCGGAAGAAAAGAACAAUGCGUUAAAAGGAGAAAUCCUUUAAUUUUCAGCUAGAAGAAGGGCCAUUGUGCGUCCAGCUUUCAGUACUUUAUCUCCACUGCACUUUGACAGAACCACCAAAGCUUUUAGGGCUCUUAACAUUUGUGUUCUGAAGAGCAAGUGUGUGUAGAAAGAAUCAGUUACAGUCCUGCACCAAAUCCUGCACAUUCUUUGGUUGCAUCAUCGCAUAUUUGAACACUUUCCAAAAGUGACA